UGGGGAAUUUUGGACAAUGGGCGAAAGCCUGAUCCAGCAAUGCCGCGUGUGUGAAGAAGGCCUUCGGGUUGUAAAGCACUUUUGUCCGGAAAGAAAUCCUUGGCUCUAAUACAGUCGGGGGAUGACGGUACCGGAAGAAUAAGCACCGGCUAACUACGUGCCAGCAGCCGCGGUAAUACGUAGGGUGCAAGCGUUAAUCGGAAUUACUGGGCGUAAAGCGUGCGCAGGCGGUUUGCUAAGACCGAUGUGAAAUCCCCGGGCUCAACCUGGGAACUGCAUUGGUGACUGGCAGGCUAGAGUAUGGCAGAGGGGGGUAGAAUUCCACGUGUAGCAGUGAAAUGCGUAGAGAUGUGGAGGAAUACCGAUGGCGAAGGCAGCCCCCUGGGCCAAUACUGACGCUCAUGCACGAAAGCGUGGGGAGCAAACAGGAUUAGAUACCCUGGUAGUCCACGCCCUAAACGAUGUCAACUAGUUGUGGGGAUUCAUUUCCUUAGUAACGUAGCUAACGCGUGAAGUUGACCGCCUGGGGAGUACGGUCGCAAGAUUAAAACUCAAAUGAAUUGACGGGGUCAUAGCUGUUUCCU
rnacentral:rRNA from 1 species